rnacentral:lncRNA from 1 species
CUAUAGGAAAUAAUUAGUUUAAAUUGCAAUAUUUGCCAUUGAAUUUAUUGUAAUAUUUCAAUUCAUAGGGUUAGGGUUAUUGACUUAAUAAUGUAUCCAUGUCCCUCUCAGGUUGACCACUUGACAUGUGAGAGCCUGAGGAGUUGUUCCCCCUCGAUCCAUUUUCAAGGACUUGCUCUCUUACUGCCUCCACUUCACCACUUUCUGGCUACUGAGACGUCCCUGAUUUGUUGAGUAUGUCAUGUGUCUUAUAAUGUUAUAUGAAUUCAUACUUGAUUUGUGAUGAUGACUUAAUAAUGUUUCCAUGUCUCUUUUAGGUUGACCACCCUAUAUAUGAGACCCUAAGGGGUUGUUUUCCCUCUGUCCCCUUUUGAGGACCUGCUUUGUCUCCUCCAUCAUUCACUGGGCCACUUUUGGGUUCCUGAGCUUAUUUCAUGUGGUUUUCCUGACCUGCUAGAAGUUCUUCUAUGAUGCUUGAGAGAGAGAGAGAGAGAGAGAGAGAGAGAGAGAGAGAGAGAGAGAGAGCUUCAUCUUGACUUUGUGAGUUUAUUAUGCAACUUGUUUUGUCUCAGAUUGAAACAAAAGGUCAUGAAUUUGGUGAGGAGUGGAGCUGGCUGGCUGCGGACGAGGAAGUAGGGCAAUAUAUACAUGUGCACAUACACGUAUAUGAGAAUGCAUAUCUAUUCAGACCUGUAAUUCACGCCUUAGGCUUUUUCACACUGCUAUAGAUAAUAAUUUUUUUUUCAAUUCUCUAUUUAUGGUUUCACAAUGACUGAGUCACCGUUAAAACAAAUGAGUUUCAGCUCUAAUGCUGCUACUGUCUGUAAUAUGUUUCUAUUUAGAUUAUUUGUUUGAUAUUUUGUUAUUAUUGUCCGAGUCUGGUUUUAACUAAUGCUGGGCUUACACCAAAAGAUUUUCACAGUCACAGACUAAAAACUGAAAGGGUAGCAUGAGGGUUCUUCCCGUUAGUCUCGUCCCACCCCUAGUCAUGACAUAACUUCUGUUGUGAUUUGACACUAUAAUGAAUAAAGACUGAUUGAUUGAUUGCUAUAGCUGUCAAUUUUAGUCCUUGAGUUCAUAGUUACGUGCUUUAUUUGUUAACUGCUAUCAAGGAAUAU